rnacentral:tRNA from 1 species
AUUUACAUAAUAUAAAAAUUAUAUUUGACUUCCAAUCAAAAAAUCUAACCCAAAUUAGUGUAAAUA